rnacentral:rRNA from 1 species
UAAAACGACUCUCGGCAACGGAUAUCUCGGCUCACGCAUCGAUGAAGAACGUAGCAAAAUGCGAUACUUGGUGUGAAUUGCAGAAUCCCGUGAACCAUCGAGUUUUUGAACGCAAGUUGCGCCCGAAGCCAUCCGGUUGAGGGCACGUCUGCCUGGGCGUCAC